AAAAGAAACUAACAAGGGAUUCCCCUAGUAACUGCGAGUGAAGCGGGAAAAGCUCAAAUUUUAAAUCUGGCGGUCUUGGGCCGUCCGAGUUGUAAUCUAGAGAAGUGUUAUCCGCGCUGGACCGUGUACAAGUCUCCUGGAAUGGAGCGUCAUAGAGGGUGAGAAUCCCGUCUUUGACACGGACUACCAGGGCUUUGUGAUGCGCUCUCAAAGAGUCGAGUUGUUUGGGAAUGCAGCUCAAAAUGGGUGGUAAAUUCCAUCUAAAGCUAAAUAUUGGCGAGAGACCGAUAGCGAACAAGUACCGUGAGGGAAAGAUGAAAAGAACUUUGGAAAGAGAGUUAAACAGUACGUGAAAUUGCUGAAAGGGAAACGCUUGAAGUCAGUCGCGUUGACCAGGGAUCAACCUUGCUUUUGCUUGGUGUACUUUCUGGUUGACGGGUCAGCAUCAAUUUUGAUCGUUGGAAAAAGUGCAAGGGAAUGUGGCAUCCUUUGGAUGUGUUAUAGCCCUUGCUCGUAUACAACGGUUGGGAUUGAGGAACUCAGCACGCCGAAAGGCCGGGUUUUUAACCACGUUCGUGCUUAGGAUGCUGGCAUAAUGGCUUUAAUCGACCCGUCUUGAAACACGGACCAAGGAGUCUAACAUGCCUGCGAGUGUUUGGGUGGAAAACCCGAGCGCGUAAUGAAAGUGAAAGUUGAGAUCCCUGUCGUGGGGAGCAUCGACGCCCGGACCAGACCUUUUGUGACGGAUCCGCGGUAGAGCAUGUAUGUUGGGACCCGAAAGAUGGUGAACUAUGCCUGAAUAGGGUGAAGCCAGAGGAAACUCUGGUGGAGGCUCGUAGCGAUUCUGACGUGCAAAUCGAUCGUCAAAUUUGGGUAUAGGGGCGAAAGACUAAUCGAACCAUCUAGUAGCUGGU
rnacentral:rRNA from 1 species